rnacentral:lncRNA from 1 species
UUUCCUCAUUAUUGGACUAACUCAUACUGAGCUCUCCUCCUUCCCCAGGCUGUGACCUUGACCCACGUUCUGCUGAUGGCCAGAUGUUCCUGAGAAACCCACUAGUGCCUUCUGACUGCUGUAACACGACCGCCCACAUCACAGGACCUUGGCUUGAAGAAUCACAGCUUGAUAGAGAAAUGGGAGCCUGCAACAGCUACUCUGAGUGGGCAGGAGCCCAGAAGAGGAGCAGAGAAAGGCGCUCAGUGCUCUGCAGGCCUCAUGCCAGCCCUGUGCUGCUUCCAAGAGCCGUCCCAGGGAAAUGGUUCAUGUCAAAGGAGUGUGAAACAGUGCAGAGUGCUGCUCCAUACAGCGUGGUGGAGGUGGGCUGGGAGGAACGCAUGGGGAGCAUGGCCUGGCAUGAGGGUGAGAAGGGCAUGGAGGGCACUGCAUAGAGGGCACCACAUCCGUAUUGAUGGAAAGAAUUGCUUUUGGAAUCCUGUGUUUCCUUAAAAAGAUAUGCUGUUAUAAAAAUCUCCUGCAUGCACACUCUAUGUACGUGCUUUACUAAAGACUUUUGGCCUCAUUUAUAGAAAUCCAGGAAAGACUCUGCUUCCUACCACCCAAGGGCAAGCCAGAGUAUCAAAAGAGAUAACAUCCCCAGCUAUAAAGCACGGUGUGCAUUUACCCAGACUCUAAAGGCCGUUUUUAUAACUUCAAUCUUGGUUUCAUUUCUAGUACUCUUAUCUUUUUUGCCAUGUUUUGGAAAAUAUAUAAGGAUUGGCUAUUGGAACAAGCAGCUUUUGCAAAAUAUUUAAUCAAAGCCCUUAAUUGCAAGCUGUAAAUGUAGAACCAGUGACAGAUUGUAAAGCCAGAAACCAUGUGGUCAACACGCAGCAGCAAACAAGAGCGUUUCAUCAGAGAGAAAAAAGCAUCGUAUAAGGUGGUUGUGUAGAACAGACAUGAGUUUUAAUGCAAAAACAAAACGAACCUCUCGUGAAAUUGAGGAGGAAGAGAAACGUGUUGGGAGAUUCAAAAGGCGUCUGGUAAAAAAAAAAACAACAAGGCUUUUUCUCUUCAUUGCUGUUUCCCAGUAGGAUAAAAUAUCUGCUUUAAAUCAACCCGGAG